GUCUUCUUGUUAUAUUUAGGAAGUCUGGCCUGCCCAGUGAAAAUAAUUUAACGGCCGCGGUAUACUGACCGUGCAAAGGUAGCAUAAUCAUUAGUCUUUUAAUAGAGGGCUGGUAUGAAGGGUUUAACGAGGUGUUGACUGUCUCAUUUAAUUUGGAUUUAGAAUUUAAUUUUUUAGUUAAAAAGCUAAAAUUUUAUUGGAAGACGAGAAGACCCUAUAGAGCUUUAUAUUUUUAUUAUUAAUUUAUUUUAGUUUAUUAUUAUUUAUUAUUAAUAGGAAAUAUUUUGUUGGGGUGACAAAAAUAUAUAAAUAACUUUUUCCAUUUAUUUUACAUUGAUAUAUGAAUAUUAGAUCCAAUCUUAUUGAUUGUUAGAUUAAGUUACCUUAGGGAUAACAGCGUAAUCCCUCUCCAGAGUUCAUAUUUACAGAGGGGCUUGCGACCUCGAUGUUGGAUUAAGAUAAUAAUUAGGUGCAGCCGCUUAAUUAAUAGGUCUGUUCGACCUUUAAAUUCUUACA
rnacentral:rRNA from 1 species